CAAUGAUAGGUAGGGGUCCUGAGAGGAGAUCCCCCACACUGGUACUGAGACACGGACCAGACUCCUACGGGAGGCAGCAGUGAGGAAUAUUGGGCAAUGGAGGCAACUCUGACCCAGCCAUGCCGCGUGCAGGAAGACGGCCCUAUGGGUUGUAAACUGCUUUUAUACGGGAAGAAACAUCGCUACGUGUAGCGACUUGACGGUACCGUAA
rnacentral:rRNA from 1 species